rnacentral:rRNA from 1 species
AUUGAACGCUGGCGGCAGGCUUAACACAUGCAAGUCGAACGGUAACAUAAGAAAAGCUUGCUUUUUUUGAUGACGAGUGGCGGACGGGUGAGUAAUGCUUGGGAAUCUGCCUUAUGGAGGGGGAUAACUACGGGAAACUGUAGCUAAUACCGCAUAAUAUCUACGGAUUAAAGUGUGGGAUCUUCGGACCAUAUACCAUAAGAUGAGCCCAAGUGAGAUUAGGUAGUUGGUGAGGUAAAGGCUCACCAAGCUGACGAUCUCUAGCUGGUUUGAGAGGAUGACCAGCCACACUGGGACUGAGACACGGCCCAGACUCCUACGGGAGGCAGCAGUGGGGAAUAUUGCACAAUGGGCGCAAGCCUGAUGCAGCCAUGCCGCGUGAAUGAAGAAGGCUUUCGGGUUGUAAAGUUCUUUCAUUAGUGAGAAAGGUAUAAAUGUUAAUAGCAUUUGUAAUUGAUGUUAGCUAAAGAAGAAGCACCGGCUAACUCCGUGCCAGCAGCCGCGGUAAUACGGAGGGUGCGAGCGUUAAUCGGAAUAACUGGGCGUAAAGGGCAUGCAGGCGGUUACUUAAGUCAGAUGUGAAAGCCCCGAGCUUAACUUGGGAAUUGCAUUUGAAACUGGGUGACUAGAGUCCUCUAGGGAGGGGUAGAAUUCCACGUGUAGCGGUGAAAUGCGUAGAGAUGUGGAGGAAUACCGAAGGCGAAGGCAGUCCCUUGGAGAGAGACUGACGCUCAUAUGCGAAAGCGUGGGUAGCAAACAGG